UUCUCAACUUUAGGUUAGCAUUCAACAGUCAACACGCCGCUUUCUUUUUUUCCAUUUCAAAAAGACUGAAGAACUUUCAUCUCUCUCUCUCUCUUAAUCUCUUCGUUCUUCUCUCAAAAAAUCAGAAAAAAUAAAAUAAAAUCGAAAAAUCAAAUAAAAUUAAGAGAAGAUUGUACAACAAACUUUAAGCACAUAUGGAUCCUCAGCUUGAGAACUUGUGUGGGAGUGUGAUGAAUCUAAAGGUGGACAAUAUGAAGGAUGAUACACCAAUCGCGAGUCCGGCAAUGAGCUCCGAUUUUAAUGGAAGUAGUUCUAAGAAAUGAGAAAACUUUGAACUUUGGUCUUGAUGUGAACUGUGAACUUUGUUUUUGGUUGUGAUUUGUGAACUUUGAACUUUAAUUUAAUUUGUGGUUUGUAAACAUUAAUAUGGGAUGCAUUUGAAUUUACAUUUUGGAUGUCAACAUGAACACCACACUUUGUAACUUCAUGGUUUGACACUUGACAGCUUGCA